rnacentral:rRNA from 1 species
GAUGAACGCUAGCUCCAGGCUUAACACAUGCAAGUCGAGGGGAAACGACAUCGAAAGCUUGCUUUUGAUGGGCGUCGACCGGCGCACGGGUGAGUAACGCGUAUCCAACCUGCCCAUCACUUGGGAAUAACCUUGCGAAAGUAAGACUAAUACCCAAUGAUAUCCCACGAAGGCAUCGGAAUGGGAUUAAAGAUUUAUCGGUGAUGGAUGGGGAUGCGUCUGAUUAGCUUGUUGGCGGGGUAACGGCCCACCAAGGCAACGAUCAGUAGGGGUUCUGAGAGGAAGGUCCCCCACAUUGGAACUGAGACACGGUCCAAACUCCUACGGGAGGCAGCAGUGAGGAAUAUUGGUCAAUGGGCGAGAGCCUGAACCAGCCAAGUAGCGUGCAGGAAGACGGCCCUAUGGGUUGUAAACUGCUUUUAUAAGGGAAUAAAGUGGGUCACGUGUGACUUUUUGCAUGUACCUUAUGAAUAAGGACCGGCUAAUUCCGUG